GAUCAUGGCUCAGAUUGAACGCUGGCGGCAGGCCUAACACAUGCAAGUCGAGCGGAUGAGAGGAGCUUGCUCCCUGAUUUAGCGGCGGACGGGUGAGUAAUGCCUAGGAAUCUGCCUGGUAGUGGGGGAUAACGUUCCGAAAGGAACGCUAAUACCGCAUACGUCCUACGGGAGAAAGCAGGGGACCUUCGGGCCUUGCGCUAUCAGAUGAGCCUAGGUCGGAUUAGCUAGUUGGUGAGGUAAUGGCUCACCAAGGCGACGAUCCGUAACUGGUCUGAGAGGAUGAUCAGUCACACUGGAACUGAGACACGGUCCAGACUCCUACGGGAGGCAGCAGUGGGGAAUAUUGGACAAUGGGCGAAAGCCUGAUCCAGCCAUGCCGCGUGUGUGAAGAAGGUCUUCGGAUUGUAAAGCACUUUAAGUUGGGAGGAAGGGCAUUAACCUAAUACGUUAGUGUUUUGACGUUACCGACAGAAUAAGCACCGGCUAACUUCGUGCCAGCCGCCGCGGUAAUUCAA
rnacentral:rRNA from 1 species